ensembl:lncRNA
GUUUUCUGUUUGUUUUUUUUUUUUCUAUGUUUGUGGUUUUUUUCAUCUGUACAAGAAAUUUUGUUAUGCACUACUACUUUUUGUAUUCUAGACAGUUUUCAAAAGUUGGCUGAAGAUUUUUUUGUUUGUUUGUUUUUAAGGAAAAAGGCAUGCUUUCUGACUGACAUGAUCUUUUGCAAUACCUCAAUUUUGAAAUAUAGGAAAGAAAAUGAUAUUUUCUAAGUAAGUUUAUUCAGAAAAAAUAUAUAUUAAUUUAAUUCUGCAAGAAAAAUGAUUUAACAGAUGGGUAACUUUAUUUUUUUCAUGCUUAUUUGUGUUUUUUGAAAAUGAAGAAGUUAGAGCUUUAUAACUAUAAUAUUAAAGAUCAUAUCUAACCUACAGAAAUCUACCUAAUUAUGUGAAAGAAGCAAAACUUUUUGAAGAAGCACCCCUCUUUCAUGUACUAAAAUAAUACUGAGAUUAAAAAAAAAAGCUGGAAGAUUGUACAGCAUAAAGCUGAAGUAAAGGCGAAAAACAUUGUUAUGAAGAAUAGGUUACAAAAAAUAAACUCCAUUUGGUGCUGAAAGUUGUGAAUAGGUGGUGGAAACUACUUUCCCUUAAUUUGUAUAUUUAUAAUCAAGCGUUGAUUGUGCACGACUGACCAGGAUUGUGAAAGAGUUCUUCUGUUUGUAUUUUUUUAAAGAGAACUUUUUUAGUUUAUUAAAUUAUAACAUGUUCCCUUUUGUUUUGUAAAUAAAUGUGCCCCCAAGUUGUUAAUGUUAUAUUAAAAGAGAGGGUCCUUCAAAAAAAAAUUAUUUUUUAAAACACAGAGGUGUUCUGACCUGCAACUUGAUGGGAAGCCCCCGGGUAUCACAGGUCCUGUUGUGGCCUUUCCUUGAUGUGACACUUGAACUAGUCGAUUUUUUGAAGGCUAUAACCUAACCUCGACUAUUUGUUGUUAUGUGCAAUACUGUUUGUACUGUUUGUAUAAAAAAUAGAAAAAAAAAGAAAAGAAAAAAGGCAUAAAUCUUUAUUGCAGAUUUAUUUUCAUUGCAAACUUUAGACAUUGUGAUUCACUGAAAUCAUUUUUCUACUGUCAAAUAUGUACCUUUUCUUCAUGCUGGUAUUUUUUCAAUAGUAAUGUAGCCUUUGUACUGAGACAAAUUUUCAUUGUUAUUUUUAGAAAGAUUUUUUGCUAAGAAAAAAAUUAAACAUAUUUACAUAUUUUUCAUUUUAUUUCGUAUUUUCUUUAAGGAGUGCUUUCUCAAUCAUUAAUAGAGUUGUUUCUGGGAGGGACUUUCAUAUCUGGUCAAUGUCAUAAUAUUAUUUUGUAUUUUUACUUGGAAUAAAUUAAUUUUAUGAUGCUAAUUCUUUAAAAGUUUAUUUUUUUCAUUUUCAGUUAUUUUUGAAGCUAAAAACCUUUGUAAUAUUGUUACUAAAGUGUCUAGUUUUUUGAAAUGCAAAGCUUUAUGUAUUAACUUGCUGAUGUGGUUUACAAUAGUGUGACAACGAUGAAAAUGGUUGGUUAUGUAACGUGAUUGGAAAAUGUAAUGGAUAAUUGGGUAAUAAAAUGACAGAAUGAGCAGAACAUGUGAGAUUUUUGACAAGCCUUUUCCUUUAUUACAGUGGUUUAGUGUAAGACUAGGGAUGUCACAGUACAGUUCUCUAGGGAUGUCACAGUGAAUUUAUACAACACCAGGUGCAGCCAAAUCUGUGGCCCUGAUGAUGAAGUCAGCCCUUACUGAGAUACCACCAGGUUGAGAACCUGGCCAGGUCGAUAGAGUGGUUCAUUGCUUUCCCCUCUAACUCUUCAUUAUGUGGUGCGUGUGUACGCAUGUGCAUGCGUGCGUGUGCGUGUGCAUGUGUGUGUGUGUGUGUGAAUCUGCCACCACCUGCUGUCCACAUGUGAGAUGGUGCCUUUUGCCCAGCCCGAAUCUUCCCCCUGCAUUGACAGUGGUGACAUCUGAGAAUGAAAGGAAGCCACUGAGAGGUUCUGGCCUCUGGGUUGCUACACUUGGAUGGCCGUGUCUCGCCUGAGUGACCUCCCCAUGCAGUAUGGGUGGCCUAGUGAGACCACUAUAGUGGCCACUCCGAGGUCACCACUAUACUUGGACAGUCUCUGACUUCGUCUUCCUCCACUCCCCCCCGCCUCCCGUUACGGUGCCCCUUGUUUGUCCCUUAUUGUGGCAACACACCUGGCCACUCCGAGCAUGAUCUGUCUGCCCUCCUGCUUCUUUUCCAACUCCCAAACUCACCUUGAAGCUGUGCUCUUGAGGCAGCGUGUCAUUGUCAUGGCACCUAAAAUUAAACAAAAAUUAUACAACUGCAAAACUGGUGUUGCGUAAACGGAACAUCCAAUGACUCGCUCUAGACAGAUGGUGUGUUUCUUCCAGUCCUUAAUGGCCUCUUCCAGGCCUUGCUGCCAAGAGGCAAGGUUUUCAGUGACUUGGAGAAACAUGUGUCCAGAGUUGGCUCUUGGGUAUGCUCUAUGUAUUCAGUUUUGUAAAUAAUAUAUAGAUUAGAUCAAGUUGUGAUGUAAAAUUUUAACUCAAAUUGGGUACUACUGGUUGGAAUUUUACAUUAACUACAAAUAAGUGAUUAGGAACAGAAGAAAAGAAAUUGGAAAUUUUUUGCUUAGUGAUAUAAAGAUUAUGCUUAGAUUUCUGCCUAUAUCUUGUGUUUUAUAGCUUGUUAGUGAGGCAUGGGCUAAUGCAGAAUGUACUGCAUUUAUGCAAUUAGCAAAUAAUGCUAGUUUUCAUUUUAUGUAUUAUAUUAGCAACAAAAUGGCAUUUAACUGGGUAAAGCUCCUACCUAAGUAUUUGAGUAUUGUGACAUCUCUACUGCAAGGUUUGAGUGAAAGAUUAGUCACAGAUUAGUGAAAAAAAAAAGUAUCUUUUUGUUAAAACUGGCUUAUUUGUAUGGAUCGUUGCUUUUUCACCAGUUUGUAUGGUAUGUCAGCUAACAUUUUCUGUUUUUUUUUUUUUAAUAAUAACCAAACUUCUCUAUCUCAGCUGCAAUAGUGUUCCAUUUUACCACAGAGUAUUUUAUAAUUAAUGCUGUUGACUUUAUACCCCAAAAUGGGUCAAGAAAUGGAAAUGUGAUUUGGGAUGUUCAAAUUUGUAUGACAAUGAAGUUAAUCACAACAAGUAGAAAACCUGGGUGCUAAUACAGGAUAACUUCUGCUCUUUUUCUUUCCUGGAUAUAGUUCUGUUGGGGUAUAAAGUAUUAGGUAUUUGUAUUUUUGCUGUCAAAAUAAUGGACAUAACUUUUAGAGUGUUCACAGCUAAGAUCUCUGUAUUUGUUUUUCAACUAACAACUAAUUUUAAAUGUAUUGUAUCUUUUAUUACCUGUUCUCUUAGAUUGUUUUUGCUAGUAACCCUUACUCAGCUUCUGCCUUUGGGGCUUGGACUGAUAAUAUUGCUUGUGUGGAACUGCAGUACUGUGACUCACCAUGGAGCUCAAUGCAGCUAUUGCUUACAACUGCUUAAACUUUGUAGUUUGAACUUCAUUUUUUUUUUCUGUAAUAACAACUUAUUAAAUCUAGUUGUAUGAAGUAC